rnacentral:lncRNA from 1 species
CUUUUGUGUCAUGGAUUGAUACCCAUAUCCUUUUGUUUUUCUAUUAUAGAAAACUAUAGACUGAGCAACACAAACUCGCGAACCGAAAAGAUAAUCUAUGAUCUUUCUUGCAUCUGAGGCACCAAACGGGUUACUCGUGGUAAAAAGUAAAAUCACAAAAAUACUGAAUUCCGAGGAAAAUUCAAAUGGCAAAACCAAAAGCCC